UUUUAAAGGAUAACUCCCGAAAACUCAUAGUACAAAAAAGGGAGUUUUUUCGUUGGUAAGAAUCCAACACUACCCAGCGUUCGGAACACUGGGUGUCUUCGCGAAGAUUUUUAUUUCUCCAGCCGCCGGGCAACCAAAAUUGCUUAAAUCGUGUUAUUUUCUGAUAAGGAGUUUGUGGCUAAGCGCUUUGUAAAGUCAUUUCUGGGACACUCUGUAUAAUAUAUUAUAGCAGUAUACUGCGAUUAUUGCGUUAUUCCUUGUUUUUGUGCAGGGUUUUCGAUUUGUCAUUUGCAAACUUAACUCGCCUGAUCAGGGCUAGUAGAGAUCCCAAACUGGUCCUGGGAGUGCUUGCUAGCAAACUUGUCACAAAACUUUACGCAUGUAUAAGCAAUCAGUAAAUUAAACUUUUUUCAGACGUUCUUAUCAUGAUAUGACACAUGCGUGAAAAUUAUGAAAAAGUUAAGUUGACAUUGGGUUAUUUUAGGUCAAUUUGGCCUAACUUCGGCUUUGUUGAUCCUGCCUAUAGUCAGAGGAAGCCUAUUUUCAUAUUUUCUGGUAGAUACCAAAAUUGCGCUUCUUGCCUUAAAUAUUCUUUGGACGGUAAAUAACAGUAAAGGAAAAUGUAAGGUUAUGUCCACUCACUGUUUAUUUAUGGGUCUUCUUUACAGUUUACUCGUCAGAGCAGGAUAUAUUUAUACUCUCGUAAAGAUGAUCUCGCAUUCCAUCUAUAAAAGCGACGCUUAACAUGCAUCUAUUAAAUUCCAAUUUAUGGCAAAAUGGUGAUGCACAGAGCAUUAUUCACCUGGUUUAUUCUUCUAAUCUUUUUUAUCCUGCUAUGCCUGCGACUAGAGGCGAGAACACAUUGGAAUUGGUUCUUGAUUUUUCUGCCUAUGUGGCUUUAUGACCUAAUAUUACUGAUAGAUGCUUUAUUUCACAUUGUAGCUUCAUGCCUGCAGGAUAGAUUCAGAGAUCUUGUAAGCAACAAGAAUAUGUUAUCCUUUGCAAUAGUCAUAUUUCUCAUAGCAGGACAAAUUAUGGUCUGCCUUAAGUUGGAAUACCGCUCUUUACAUUUGCAGCUAGCAUAUGUUCUGAUUCCUUUCUGGGUAUUACUACCUUUAUUAAUUGGUGGCAUUUCGGUUACCCUUUUUAAGCCAACAUAUUAAUUUACUUGUACAUACUUAAGUUGCUGUUAUACGCAGAUGUUUAAUUAAAACAUUCACAAGUC